UCUUCCCAGAUAAGAGUAGGAAGAGGAAGAUCCUUUUAUGGUCAGAAGUACAGGAAGGAAGAUCCUUUUAUGGUUGAGAGUACCAGAGCAGGAACAUAUGUGAUGUCAACCUGCGUACGUAGGCCGACGUGGUUGGGCUCCUAGGGGAGGAGUGAGAGGGUGCCUGGAGGAUAUAUAAACUGCAUGAAACCUGUCAUUUCUUUGUACUUGCUGUGGACUCACCACGCAAGUGCCUUCUGCUAUCCGGAGAGCAGAAUAAACUCUUUCUUUGAACCAUCCCCGGUGUCAUUUUGACUUCCUUCCUCCUGUCCCGGAGCAACGCAGACCCAAUCGUUGAACUCCAAUAAGGCUACAUUUCUUGGUGCAUUGGCCGGGAAUCCGCGUUCUCUGAAGACAAGGAUGAAGGACUGGGGCGUCACUGCUCAGUGAACAGCUUGGUCGGCGUCGGUGGCUCCAAGCGUGCACCCUACAUUUUCUAGGGGGAGCCCCCCACCCCGUACUUGAGUGGAGAUGCAGCAGAGACGGAAGAAAGACAGCAGCUGCAUGGGAGAAGGGUACCCAGGGGAAAGUGACCAGCAUAGGUGCGUCCAGUUGGCUUGUAUUGUAUUGCCAACACGUGGGGUCCGGGAAAAA